rnacentral:rRNA from 1 species
UACGUAGGGUGCGAGCGUUGUCCGGAAUUAUUGGGCGUAAAGCGCUUGUAGGCGGUUUGGCGCGUCUGCUGUGAAAAUCCGGGGCUCAACCCCGGACUUGCAGUGGGUACGGGCAGACUGGAGUGUGGUAGGGGAGACUGGAAUUCCUGGUGUAGCGGUGGAAUGCGCAGAUAUCAGGAGGAACACCGAUGGCGAAGGCAGGUCUCUGGGCCACUACUGACGCUGAGAAGCGAAAGCAUGGGGAGCGAACAGG